rnacentral:rRNA from 1 species
AUUGAACGCUGGUGGCAUGCUUAACACAUGCAAGUCGCACGGCAGCAUUACUCUGCUUGCAGAGUAGAUGGCGAGUGGCGGACGGGUGAGUAUAGCAUAGGAAUCUGCCCUAAAGGUGGGGGACAACGAAGGGAAACUUUCGCUAAUACCGCAUAAUACCUAAGGGUUAAAGUCGGCUUCGGCUGGCGCUUUGGGAUGAGCCUAUGUCAGAUUAGCUAGAUGGUGGGGUAAAGGCCUACCAUGGCGACGAUCUGUAGCUGUUCUGAGAGGAAGAUCAGCCACACUGGGACUGAGACACGGCCCAG